rnacentral:lncRNA from 1 species
GCAGAGAUGGUGCCAGCAUGAACUUGCCUGCUGUACUGGAGCUCUUCUGGCAACUGCAAGUCAGUUGGAGACCAGAACACAUUUCUCCCUUGUCCACGUUCCUGCAGUGGAUCCUUUCUGGGCUGCAGCAGCUGUUGCAGGGGAUUUUUUUCCCCCUGGAAAAUUCAAAUAUGGGAAUUUUGAUCAUCAGAAAGAGGGUAGAAUGCCAUUUUAAAGUCAAUUAUGCAAAGGUGUAACAACUUGUCCACAAUAUGAAGCUUCUGAGCUGUGGACCAUAGAAGUGACAGCAGAAAUUCAUCUCUGAUUCAUCACUGAAUUGUUUGAUACACCAAGUAUCCAGCUUCAAUCAAAAUAAAGAAGUUAGCUUCAUAAAAUGUAGGUAAGACAGUUAAUUUACUGAAUUCUUUUUGUCAUUUGAGAGUAAGAAGAGAAACUGAAAAAUUCAGUCAUGUUAAAGUUGAAAAAGAUCUGGUUCUGCCAUUUCAUUUGCUGUAAAGGUAGGUGGUCGUUUUGCUUGUUUAAG